rnacentral:rRNA from 1 species
AGUGAACGCUGGCGGUAGGCCUAACACAUGCAAGUCGAACGGCAGCACAGUAAGAGCUUGCUCUUACGGGUGGCGAGUGGCGGACGGGUGAGGAAUACAUCGGAAUCUACUUUUUCGUGGGGGAUAACGUAGGGAAACUUACGCUAAUACCGCAUACGACCUACGGGUGAAAGCAGUGGAUCUUCGCACCUUGCGCGAUUGAAUGAGCCGAUGCCGGAUUAGCUAGUUGGCGGGGUAAAGGCCCACCAAGGCGACGAUCCGUAGCUGGUCUGAGAGGAUGAUCGGCCACACUGGAACUGAGACACGGUCCAGACUCCUACGGGAGGCAGCAGUGGGGAAUAUUAGGCAAUGGGCGCAAGCCUGACCCAGCCAUACCGCGUGGGUGAAGAAGGCCUUCGGGUCGUAAAGCCCUUUUGUUGGGAAAGAAAAGCAGUAGGUUGAUACCCCGCUGUUCUGACGGUACCCAAUGAAGAAGCACCGGCUAACUUCGUG